rnacentral:rRNA from 1 species
AUGGGACACUUUGGCGUGAAGAAGACGGAGGACGUACUUGCUACACAUUUCUUUUGGCCAAAGAUGAGACGGGAUGUUGAGCGGGCUGUUUUGAAGAAUAAUAAGAAAAUGUGGGAAGAAUGCUUGCCUCAUAUUGAGUUUGCUUAUAAUCGUUCAUUGCAUUCUACUACUAAGAUGUGCCCUUUUGAAAUUGUGUAUGGUUUCCUACCUCGUGCACCUAUUGAUUUGUUGCCUCUUCCAUCUUCGGAGAAGGUUAAUUUUGAUGCUAAACAACGUGCUGAAUUGAUCUUAAAAAUGCAUGAGUUAACUAAGGAAAACAUUGAGCGUAUGAAUGCUAAAUAUAAACUUGCUGGAGAUAAGGGUAGAAAACAUGUUGUGUUUGCACCUGGAGAUCUUGUUUGGUUACAUUUGCGUAAGGAUAGAUUUCCAGAUUUGCGCAAAUCAAAGCUAAUGCCACGUGCUGAUGGUCCUUUUAAGGUGUUAGAGAAAAUUAAUGAUAAUGCAUAUAAACUUGAGCUGCCUGCAGAUUUUGGGGUUAGUCCCACUUUUAACAUUGCAGAUUUGAAGCCUUAUUUGGGUGAGGAAGAUGAGCUUCCGUCGAGGACGACUUCAUUUCAAGAAGGGGAGGAUGAUGAGGACAUCAAUACCAUUGUUACACCCACAGCCCCUGCUGCUAUACAUACUGGACCAAUUACUAGAGCUCGCGCACGCCAAUUAAAUUACCAGGAAACAGACCCUCGUGGUCAGGUUGAUUGUGCUCCGGCGUGGUCGAUAACCUCUCGGAGUUGGUUUAGCGAUUGCUAA